AACUGUGUGGCUUAGUGGUUAGAGCAUCCACCUCAUAUGCGGGAGGUCAUGGGUUUGAUCCCCGGAUGAGUCA